rnacentral:rRNA from 1 species
GGACCCGCACAAGCAGCGGAGCAUGUGGUUUAAUUCGAAGCAACGCGAAGAACCUUACCAGGGCUUGACAUGCCCCUGACCGCAUUAGAGAUAGUGCUUUCCCUUCGGGGACAGGGGACACAGGUGGUGCAUGGUUGUCGUCAGCUCGUGUCGUGAGAUGUUGGGUUAAGUCCCGCAACGAGCGCAACCCUUGUCUUUAGUUGCUAACAAGUAAUGUUGAGCACUCUAGAGAGACUGCCGAUGAUAAAUCGGAGGAAGGUGGGGAUGACGUCAAAUCAUCAUGCCCUUUAUGUCCUGGGCUACACACGUGCUACAAUGGUCGGUACAACGAGGAGCUACACAGCGAUGUGAUGCAAAUCUCUUAAAGCCGAUCCCAGUUCGGAUUGCAGGCUGCAACUCGCCUGCAUGAAGUCGGAGUUGCUAGUAAUCGCGAAUCAGAACGUCGCGGUGAAUGCGUUCCCGGGUCUU